rnacentral:rRNA from 1 species
CCCUUAGAUGUUCUGGGCCGCACGCGUGCUACACUGAGUGGAUCAGCGGGUCAGGUUGCGCGAAAGCGUUUCCUAAUCUUUAAAUCCGCUCGUGAUGGGGAUUGACGGUUGCAAUUUUCUGUCAUGAACGAGGAAUACCUUGUAAGCGCGGGUCAUCAUCCCGCGCUGAAUACGUCCCUGCCCUUUGUACACACCGCCCGUCGCUACUACCGAUCGGAUGGUUUAGUGAGACCCUCGGACUGGUCCCGCUGUCGGACAGGCAACUGUUUGCAGCGCGUGCGCCGGGAAGAAGGUCGAACUUGACUAUCUAGAGGAAGUAAAAGUCGUAACA